rnacentral:rRNA from 1 species
CCUACGGGAGGCUGCAGUGGGGAAUAUUGGGCAAUGGGCGCAAGCCUGACCCAGCAACGCCGCGUGAAGGCAGAAGGCUUUCGGGUUGUAAACUUCUUUUCUCAGGGACGAAGCAAGUGACGGUACAUGAGGAAUAAACCACGGCUAACUACGUGCCAGCAGCCGCGGUAAUACGUAGGUGGCAAGCGUUAUCCGGAUUUACUGGGUGUAAAGGGCGUGUAGGCGGGACUUCAAGUCAGAUGUGAAAACCACGGGCUCAACCUGUGGCCUGCAUUUGAAACUGUAGUUCUUGAGUACUGGAGAGGCAGACGGAAUUCCUAGGGUAGCGGUGAAAUGCGUAGAUAUUAGGAGGAACACCAGUGGCGAAGGCGGUCUGCUGGACAGCAACUGACGCUGAGGCGCGAAAGCGUGGGGAGCAAACAGGAUUAGAUACCCGGGUAGUC